GUUUGACUGGGGCGGUCUCCUCCCAAAGAGUAACGGAGGAGCACGAAGGUGGGCUAAUCACGGUUGGACAUCGUGAGGUUAGUGCAAUGGCAUAAGCCCGCUUGACUGCGAGAAUGACAAUUCGAGCAGGUGCGAAAGCAGGUCAUAGUGAUCCGGUGGUUCUGAAUGGAAGGGCCAUCGCUCAACGGAUAAAAGGUACUCCGGGGAUAACAGGCUGAUACCGCCCAAGAGUUCAUAUCGACGGCGGUGUUUGGCACCUCGAUGUCGGCUCAUCACAUCCUGGGGCUGAAGUCGGUCCCAAGGGUAUGGCUGUUCGCCAUUUAAAGUGGUACGCGAGCUGGGUUUAGAACGUCGUGAGACAGUUCGGUCCCUAUCUGCCGUGGGCGUUGGAAGAUUGAAGGGGGCUGCUCCUAGUACGAGAGGACCGGAGUGGACGAACCUCUGGUGUUCGGGUUGUGUCGCCAGACGCAUUGCCCGGUAGCUAAGUUCGGAAUCGAUAACCGCUGAAAGCAUCUAAGCGGGAAGCGAGCCCUGAGAUGAGUCUUCCCUGAUACUUUAAGUAUCCUAAAGGGUUGUCGGAGACUACGACGUUGAUAGGUCAGGUGUGUAAGUGCUGUGAGGCAUUGAGCUAACUGAUACUAAUUGCCCGUGAGGCUUAACCAUACAACAC
rnacentral:rRNA from 1 species